rnacentral:rRNA from 1 species
CCUACGGGAGGCAGCAGUGAGGAAUAUUGGUCAAUGGACGUAAGUCUGAACCAGCCAAGUAGCGUGAAGGAUGACUGCUCUAUGGAUUGUAAACUUCUUUUAUAUGGGAAUAAAGCGUUGCACGUGUGGGAUUUUGUAUGUACCAUAUGAAUAAGGAUCGGCUAACUCCGUGCCAGCAGCCGCGGUAAUACGGAGGAUCCGAGCGUUAUCCGGAUUUAUUGGGUUUAAAGGGAGCGUAGGUGGACUGUUAAGUCAGUUGUGAAAGUCUGCGGCUCAACCGUAAAAUUGCAGUUGAAACUGGCAGUCUUGAGUACAGUAGAGGUGGGCGGAAUGCGGGGUGUAGCGGUGAAAUGCUUAGAUAUCACGAAGAACUCCGAUUGCGAAGGCAGUUCACUGGACUGUGACUGACACUGAGGCACGAAAGCGUGGGUAUCAAACAGGAUUAGAUACCCGGGUAGUC